GGGGGCGUCACGGUUUCGACGGGGAUAACUGAAGCUGUAGAAGCGUACCGAGGUUCCUACAGGCCUCGUUAAACAGGUAGGACAAUAUAAUCGCAGACAACUACGAUUACGCUUUAGCCGCUUAGACGGCUAACGUUCUCCUGAACCCGCCUGUCGGUUCAGAUGAGGGCGUCAUUAAGGCAGGAUAACUGCUCCCUCUUGCCCGGCGGGGGAGGGGCGAAAAAAUAACGGGAUAGCGCCUGAUCAAACCUGACUCUGGGUGUUUUCGGGGGCGAAAUCAAAUCAGAGUCUACGUACGUAGAAACUGCAGUGGAAUAUUUUCGGACGCGGGUUCGACUCCCGCCGCCUCCACCA
rnacentral:sRNA from 1 species